AAAACGGCCCCUUUUCAGGGCCACCAAUCUGUUUGCAAAAGAUGUUU
rfam:Anopheles maculatus strain maculatus3 cont1.27318, whole genome shotgun sequence.